CAGCAGCCGCGGUAAUACGUAGGUGGCAAGCGUUGUCCGGAAUUAUUGGGCGUAAAGCGCGCGCAGGCGGAUAGGUCAGUCUGUCUUAAAAGUUCGGGGCUUAACCCCGUGAUGGGAUGGAAACUGCCAAUCUAGAGUAUCGGAGAGGAAAGUGGAAUUCCUAGUGUAGCGGUGAAAUGCGUAGAUAUUAGGAAGAACACCAGUGGCGAAGGCGACUUUCUGGACGAAAACUGACGCUGAGGCGCGAAAGCCAGGGGAGCGAACGGGAUUAGAUACCCCUGUAGUCCCUGUCUCUUAUACA
rnacentral:rRNA from 1 species